rnacentral:rRNA from 1 species
AGGAUCUGCCCUUAGGACUGGGACAACAGCUGGAAACGGCUGCUAAUACCGGAUGUGCCGAGAGGUGAAACAUUUAUGGCCUGAGGAUGAGCUCGCGUCUGAUUAGCUAGUUGGUAGUGUAAUGGACUACCAAGGCGACGAUCAGUAGCUGGUCUGAGAGGAUGACCAGCCACACUGGGACUGAGACACGGCCCAGACUCCUACGGGAGGCAGCAGUGGGGAAUUUUCCGCAAUGGGCGCAAGCCUGACGGAGCAAGACCGCGUGGGGGAAGAAGGUUUGUGGAUUGUAAACCCCUUUUGAUUGGGAAGAAGACAGUGACGGUACCAAUCGAAUCAGCAUCGGCUAACUCCGUGCCAGCAGCCGCGGUAAUACGGAGGAUGCAAGCGUUAUCCGGAAUUAUUGGGCGUAAAGCGUCCGUAGGUGGAAGUUCAAGUCAGUUGUUAAAGCGUGAGGCUUAACCUCAUAAGGGCAAUUGAAACUGAGCAUCUAGAGUGCGAUAGGGGCAAGGGGAAUUCCCAGUGUAGCGGUGAAAUGCGUAGAUAUUGGGAAGAACACCGGUGGCGAAAGCGCCUUGCUGGGUCUGCACUGACACUGAGGGACGAAAGCUAGGGGAGCG